GGAAUUUUCCGCAAUGGGCGAAAGCCUGACGGAGCAAUACCGCGUGAGGGAAGACUGCCUAUGGGUUGUAAACCUCUUUUUUCAGGGAGGAAUAAAUGACGUGUACCUGAAGAAUAAGCAUCGGCUAACUCCGUGCCAGCAGCCGCGGUAAGACGGAGGAUGCAAGUGUUAUCCGGAAUCACUGGGCGUAAAGCGUCUGUAAGUGGUUGUUUAAGUCAACUGUUAAAUCUUGAGGCUCAACUUCAAAAUCGCAGUCGAAACUAUUCAACUAGAGUAUAGUAGGGGUAAAGGGAAUUUCCAGUGGAGCGGUGAAAUGCGUAGAUAUUGGAAAGAACACCGAUGGCGAAGGCACUUUACUGGGCUAUUACUAACACUCAGAGACGAAAGCUAGGGUAGCAAAUGGGAUUAGAUACCCCAGUAGUC
rnacentral:rRNA from 1 species